rnacentral:tRNA from 1 species
GUUGUGGCUCAGUGGUAGAGCACUUGCCUGGCAUGUGUGAGGCACUGGGUUCAAUUCUCAGCACCACA